AUACUUACCUGGCAGGGGAGAUACCAUGAUCACGAAGGUGGUUUUCCCAUGGCAAGCUUAUCCAUUGCACUCAGUAUGUGCUGACCCCUGUGAUUUCCCCAAAUGUGGGCAACUCGACUGCAUAAUUUGUGGUAGUAGGGGACUGUGUUUGCACUUUCCCCUG
ensembl:snRNA U1 U1 spliceosomal RNA